UACGUAGGGUGCAAGCGUUGUCCGGAAUUAUUGGGCGUAAAGAGCUCGUAGGCGGUUUGUCGCGUCGAAUGUGAAAACCCGGGGCUCAACCCCGGGCCUGCAUUCGAUACGGGCAGACUAGAGUUCGGUAGGGGAGUCUGGAAUUCCUGGUGGAGCGGUGAAAUGCGCAGAUAUCAGGAGGAACACCCGUAGCGAAGGCGGCACUCUGGGCCGAUACUGACACUGAGGAGCGAAAGCGUGGGGAGCGAACAGG
rnacentral:rRNA from 1 species